UACGUAGGGUGCGAGCGUUGUCCGGAAUUACUGGGCGUAAAGAGCUCGUAGGUGGUUUGUCGCGUUGUCCGUGAAAACUCACAACUCAAUUGUGGGCGUGCGGGCGAUACGGGCAGACUGGAGUACUGCAGGGGAGACUGGAAUUCCUGGUGUAGCGGUGGAAUGCGCAGAUAUCAGGAGGAACACCGGUGGCGAAGGCGGGUCUCUGGGCAGUAACUGACGCUGAGGCGCGAAAGCGUGGGUAGCAAACGGG
rnacentral:rRNA from 1 species